CCCUUAGAUGUUCUGGGCCGCACGCGUGCUACACUGAGUAAUUCAAUGGGUAAGGGAACGCUAGAGCAUUACCUAAUCUUGAAAUUUGCUCGUGAUGGGGAUCGACGGUUGCAAUUUUCCGUCGUGAACGAGGAAUACCUUGUAGGCGCAUGUCAUCAUCAUGCGCCGAAUACGUCCCUGCCCUUUGUUCACACCGCCCGUCGCUCCUACCGAUUGAGUGAUCCGGAGAGGCUCUGGGACCUGGACGGAAAGAGCGUUUCGCUUGUUCUGUUUGGGAAACUUGGUCGAACCUUAUCAUUUAGAGGAAGGAGAAGUCGUAACA
rnacentral:rRNA from 1 species